rnacentral:rRNA from 1 species
CCUACUGGUGGCACCAGUGGGGAAUAUUGCACAAUGGGCGCAAGCCUGAUGCAGCCAUGCCGCGUGUAUGAAGAAGGCCCUAGGGUUGUAAAGUACUUUCAGUCGGGAGGAAGGCGUUGAUGCUAAUAUCAUCAACGAUUGACGUUACCGACAGAAGAAGCACCGGCUAACUCCGUGCCAACAGCCGCGGUAAUACGGAGGGUGCAAGCGUUAAUCGGAAUUACUGGGCGUAAAGCGCACGCAGGCGGUUGAUUAAGUUAGAUGUGAAAUCCCCGGGCUUAACCUGGGAAUGGCAUCUAAGACUGGUCAGCUAGAGUCUUGUAGAGGGGGGUAGAAUUCCAUGUGUAGCGGUGAAAUGCGUAGAGAUGUGGAGGAAUACCAGUGGCGAAGGCGGCCCCCUGGACAAAGACUGACGCUCAGGUGCGAAAGCGUGGGGAGCAAACAGGAUUAGAUACCCUCGUAGUC